UGUCAAAAAACGGCAGCCAUUACCGCGCGCGAAAUGCUGGAUAAAAUCCAAGUGGCGAUGUCUUCGCUCUUCGGUUCCGUUCCGUGACCCGCCCCUGAAGGAUGACGUGGAAAACAGGCGUUUUAAGAACCGCUAUUUUCAUGUGGAACAGCAGAAACGCCCCGCUGCGCAAUUCAAACUGCUUCUGGGAUGACAACGGACAAUGAUACCCAGAUUUUCGGCUCCGGAUGAUGCACAAUACAGGCUGCUGCUCAGUUGUUAUAAAUCCACCGGGUACCGGAGACUGCCGUAGGGAGCUUCUACUUGGAAUCGCCAUCUUGGCAGUUGGAAUCGGUGCCUUGACAUUAGCAAUCGGUA